CUGGGCGUAAAGCGCGCGCAGGCGGCUAUUUAAGUUGGAUGUGAAAGCCUACGGCUCAACCGUAGAACUGCAUCCAAAACUAUUUAGCUAGAGUGUGGGAGAGGAAGAUGGAAUUAGUUGUGUAGGGGUAAAAUCCGUAGAGAUAACUAGGAAUACCAAAAGCGAAGGCAAUCUUCUGGAACACUACUGACGCUGAGGCGCGAAAGCGUGGGGAGCAAACAGGAUUAGAUACCCUGGUAGUCCACGCAGUAAACGAUGAAUGUUAGUCGUCGGGUAGCUAGUCUAUUCGGUGAUGCAGCUAACGCAUUAAACAUUCCGCCUGGGGAGUACGGUCGCAAGAUUAAAACUCAAAGGAAUAGACGGGGACCCGCACAAGUGGUGGAGCAUGUGGUUUAAUUCGAAGAUACGCGAAGAACCUUACCUAGCCUUGACAUAUUUUAGAACACCCUAGAGAUAGAGUGGUGCCUUCGGGAGCUAAUUUACAGGUGCUGCACGGCUGUCGUCAGCUCGUGUCGUGAGAUGUUGGGUUAAGUCCCGCAACGAGCGCAACCCUCGUCACUAGUUACUAACGGUUCGGCCGAGGACUCUAGUGAGACUGCCUUCGUAAGGAGGAGGAAGGUGAGGACGACGUCAAGUCAUCAUGGCCCUUACGGCUAGGGCAACACACGUGCUACAAUGGCCAGGACAGUGAGACGCAAUACCGCGAGG
rnacentral:rRNA from 1 species